GUCUAUGGCCACACCACCCUUAAUGCACCUUAUUGUAGAAGCUGAGUAGAGUCAGGACUAGUUAGUACUUGGAUGGGAGAUGGACUAGAAAUACCCAAUGCUGUAGGCU
rnacentral:rRNA from 1 species